GAUGGGAAACGGGUUAAUAUUCCCGUACUUGGUGUUACUGCGAAGGGGGGACGGAGAAGGCUAUGUUGGCCGGGCGACGGUUGUCCCGGUUUAAGCGUGUAGGUGUGUGUUCCAGGUAAAUCCGGUUCACUUUAACACUGAGGCGUGAUGACGAGGCACUACGGUGCUGAAGCAACAAAUGCCCUGCUUCCAGGAAAAGCCUCUAAGCAUCAGGUAACAUCAAAUCGUACCCCAAACCGACACAGGUGGUCAGGUAGAGAAUACCAAGGCGCUUGAGAGAACUCGGGUGAAGGAACUAGGCAAAAUGGUGCCGUAACUUCGGGAGAAGGCACGCUGACAC
rnacentral:rRNA from 1 species